AAAAAUACAAUUGAAGGCAAAGGUCACUUUCUUAACUCUACUGUACAGCACUUGGGGAGAGCAUCUCCUUCUUCUUCUUCGUCAUUAUCUUCUUCUUCUUCUUCUUCUUUCUUGUAAAUUUCAGACCUCUUCGGACAGUUUUGGACAGCAAGCCUCGACGGCGUCAGCCACCGUCAGAUAGAUAUGGUCUUGUCCUAACAUGUCGGCAAAGUGCGACAAGUGUAGCUUGCCUAUCACCAACGGUCCAGGAUUCGCCAGAAUCAACUGUUUAUUAUCACAAGCACUCAGAAUCAGGUAAAUCUUCUUCUACUGAAUUUAUUUUAUUUGACUAUUGCUUAGAUGAUAUAAUCUUUAAAUUCAAGUCUCUGUAUAUAUGUACCUGAAUGUCUCUUUUUUGGAGAGACUUGUACAAGUCUUCUAAGGCAUGGAUACCACUUGUAUCGAUGUCCGUAACAGCUGAAAAAAAAUAAUGGUGUCCGUGUUAAUCUUCGUUUGUAAGCAAAACAAAAAUAAAAAUUGUGAUAACUAAGAAGGGAUUAAUUAAAAUAAGAUUAAAAUUUAACUUACGUGACAUUUCGAUGAUGAGAAACUGAAUCCUGGGUAGGCUUGCUGCUUUGACUUUUUCUUCUUCCUCAUGUAGCCAUCUCAGGAUCCUAUAAAUUACAAGGGUUUCCGAUUUAACAUUAUUGUGAACCAAGUAACAAGUCUUGGUUUAGAUUAAACUUUUGUUUAAGGUUUCUACCUUUCUCUGACGUAGUUUGAGUUGGAGAAGUAGAUCGCUGAGUCAACACGAAUAGUAAGAACCCCUGGAACCAUAGUGGCUUCAGGAUACUGUUGAAUAUUCCUGUAAACCGAAGUUCUUGGAAUAUUUCCGAGAACUGCAGUUCUAGGUCUUGUUACUUGCAAGAGGAUCUUAGCAAACGAGAUAGAGACCUGUCCAUAAACAAACAUGAGCAAAUUAGACUAAAGAGAACUAGAUUCAUCAUUAUACAUAUAGGGAUUAAUUUUCUUGAGAUGUACCGCAAUGAGAAGUCCAAUCUCAACGGAAACAAAGAUGACGCCAAAGAAAGCUCCCAUACAAGCGAUGAAAUCGAGCUUAUCGACCUUGAAGAUCAAUAUAGCAGCUUGGAUAUCGAUCAAAGGAAUCACGGCGUUGAUGAUGAUAGCCGCGAGGAUGGCGUUUGGAGUGUACUUAAAGAGAGGUGUGAGGAAGAGCAAUGUCAAGAGAACGACGAUUGACAUUAUGAUGUUAGAAACCGCCGUAUGACAUCCAGCCAUGAAAUUGACAGCUGAUCUUGAGAACGAUCCAGUAGCAACGUAGCACGAAGACAUCGAUCCAACUACGUUCAUCAUGCCUAAUGCUACCAUCUCUUUAUUACCGUCGAUUUGGUAGUCUUUCAUCGCUGCAAAGGUUCUUCCAAUCGCCACAGCUUCCUGUCAAAACAUAUUGAAAUAUUCGGGUUUCGAUGAGGAAAAGUUCCUUUAGGACUAUUGGUCUUGAGAGAUUGAAGUCUGAGUCGUUGACUUGGAGCACUUACUGUUAAAGCGACCAUGCCUGCGACUACACCGAUGCGGAUUCCCUUAGCAAGGUUAUCACCGGAGAAGUAUAUUUGGUGGAAAGAGGAAGGGUUUAUGCCUUGGUCAAGGUGUUUCACCUUCAUUCAUCAAAACCGGAGACAUUGUAUUAGGUAUUAACUAAAUGUUUGAGGUGCAAGUAACUACUUAGAGUAGGUUGAUAUCUUACGAUUUGGACUCCUUGUUUGUCUGCCCGGGUUAUGUAGACGAAGAAGGUAGAAAUGAUAACUGAUAUCAAUGGCGCAAUCGCUGGUACCCAGAAAAGUUUUUUGCUCUUCUUCCCCUGUUUCAGCAUCAAACCAAGAGAGAUUAACAUCGAUCAGCUCAUAACAUAAAUGAAGAAACUAUAUAUCUGAUGUUGUGUUAAGAGAUAUAUGUCUUACAAUGAACUUAGAGGUGAGAAGGAAGGUCAAGAAUGAUGCACCAAUGAGUAUAGUUUGCCAAUUCCACUGCAGAGCCAAAAGUGAUAAGUAUUAGUGAAAGGAUUAAAAUGAUGCACAAAAUAAAGAACAGAGUGUUUAGAUUAGAUAAAGCAAAAGAAGGAUUCGUACGCCGUGAUGAGCGGAACUGAAAACGGAGUCAAGAACAUGAAUUAUAUCGGUUUUCUUGGUGAAUUUCUUGAUCCCGAGGAAGCCUUUAAGCUGCUGGAGAGCGAUAGUGAUGGCCGCGCCACCCAUGAAGCCCACCACAGCAGCGUGGGACAGGAAAUCGAUCAAGAACCCUAAUCUGAGAGUAGUAAAGAAGAAAGGUGAACAUUUUAAGAGCCUUUUCCAUAGAAAGAAACUGUUAAUGGAUAAAGAGAUCAAUUUUACCUGAAGAAUCCAAGGGCUGCUUCGGUGAUACCGGCGAAAAACGUGGCAGUGAAGGCAAGGCGGAGAUAUUCAUCAGGAUUUGUGUUUGGAUCAAUCUCAGCUUGAAGCAAAGUGCCUAGCAACAGAGAAACCACAGCAACGGGUCCGAUUGCUAUAUCUCUUGAACUCCCCAUACAAGCAUACACCAACGGAGGAACAAAACUAGAAUCUGUAAAAUCAAAAUCAACCAUAUUAUUUGAUUUUUUUUAGAUUUUAUCCCCUGUUUUUCAAAUGAGGUCAAGUGUGAUUAAUUAAGAGUAAGUCAAUAUCAAACUUACAUAAACCGUAUUUAGGAUCAAGAUUAGCCAACUUAGCGUACCCAAUAUCCUGUAAUGAUCAUGGAAUAUAAGCAACAAAGCAAGCGUAGAUAACUUGUCAUACAAGUAAUAGUGUAAUUGAGUUUAGGUUUUUUCACCUGAGGAAUGCAGAGACUUGCGAUGGUUAAACCGGAGAUGAGAUCGCCUCGGAACUUCUUGAGAUUGUAGUUACGUCCCCAGUCGAAGACCGGGAAGACGGACUGGAGACCAAGCAUGAACUGCUUAGACUUGGGCUGAUCCUUAAAAUCCCUAAGAGGAUCAUCG
rnacentral:lncRNA from 1 species